rnacentral:rRNA from 1 species
GUCUAUUAAUUGUAGACCAGCAUGAAUGGCAAAAUGAAGGCCUAACUGUCUCUUAUAGUAAAUCAAUUAAACUGAUCCCCCAGUAAAAAAGCUAGGAUAACCCCAUAAGACCAGAAGACCCUGUGAAGCUUAAACUACCCUAUUAAACCCCAUAAUAGCUACUUUCGGUUGGGGCGACCUUGGAAAAAAAAAGAACUUCCAAAUAGUGACUAUAAACCACGCACACUUGGCCUACAAGCCUACCACUUUGACCCAGUAAAACUGAUAAUCGAACCAAGUUACUCCAGGGAUAACAGCGCCAUCUUCCUCAAGAGUCCAUAUCAAAAGGAAGGCUUACGACCUCGAUGUUGGAUCAGGACAUCCUAAUGGUGUA